UACGAAGGGGGCUAGCGUUGCUCGGAAUCACUGGGCGUAAAGGGUGCGUAGGCGGGUCUUUAAGUCAGGGGUGAAAUCCUGGAGCUCAACUCCAGAACUGCCUUUGAUACUGAGGAUCUUGAGUAUGGGAGAGGUGAGUGGAACUGCGAGUGUAGAGGUGAAAUUCGUAGAUAUUCGCAAGAACACCAGUGGCGAAGGCGGCUCACUGGCCCAUUACUGACGCUGAGGCACGAAAGCGUAGGGAGCAAACAGG
rnacentral:rRNA from 1 species